UUAGAGUUUGAUCCUGGCUCAGAGUGAACGCUGGCGGUAGGCCUAACACAUGCAAGUCGAACGGCAGCACAGGAGAGCUUGCUCUCUGGGUGGCGAGUGGCGGACGGGUGAGGAAUACAUCGGAAUCUACUUUUUCGUGGGGGAUAACGUAGGGAAACUUACGCUAAUACCGCAUACGACCUACGGGUGAAAGCAGGGGAUCUUCGGACCUUGCGCGAUUGAAUGAGCCGAUGUCGGAUUAGCUAGUUGGCGGGGUAAAGGCCCACCAAGGCGACGAUCCGUAGCUGGUCUGAGAGGAUGAUCAGCCACACUGGAACUGAGACACGGUCCAGACUCCUACGGGAGGCAGCAGUGGGGAAUAUUGGACAAUGGGCGCAAGCCUGAUCCAGCCAUACCGCGUGGGUGAAGAAGGCCUUCGGGUUGUAAAGCCCUUUUGUUGGGAAAGAAAUCCAGCUGGCUAAUACCCGGUUGGGAUGACGGUACCCAAAGAAUAAGCACCGGCUAACUUCGUGCCAGCAGCCGCGGUAAUACGAAGGGUGCAAGCGUUACUCGGAAUUACUGGGCGUAAA
rnacentral:rRNA from 1 species